rnacentral:tRNA from 1 species
UCCCGUGUGGCUCAGUUGGUAGAGCAUGGUGUUUGCAACACCAGGGUUGUGGGUUCGAUUCUCACCGGGGAU